rnacentral:tRNA from 1 species
GGGCCCAUAGCUCAGUUGGUCAGAGCGUCCGACUCAUAAUCGGCUGGUCGCAGGUUCAAGUCCUGCUGGGCCCACCA